rnacentral:rRNA from 1 species
GACGAACGCUGGCGGCGUGCUUAACACAUGCAAGUCGAACGGUGAAGCGCCUUCCUUUUUGGUGGGUGUGGAUGAGUGGCGAACGGGUGAGUAACACGUGAGUAACCUGCCCCCUUCUUCUGGAUAACCGCAUGAAAGUGUGGCUAAUACGGGAUAUUCUGGGUCUGUCGCAUGAUGGGUCUGGGAAAGAUAUUGUUUCGGUGGGGGAUGGGCUCGCGGCCUAUCAGCUUGUUGGUGGGGUGAUGGCCUACCAAGGCGGUGACGGGUAGCCGGCCUGAGAGGGUGGGCGGUCACACUGGGACGGAGACACGGCCCAGACUCCUACGGGAGGCAGCAGGGGGGAAUAUUGCACAAUGGGCGCAAGCCUGAUGCAGCGACGCCGCGUGAGGGAUGGAGGCCUGCGGGUUGUGAACCUCUUUCGCCAGUGAAGCAGGCCUGCCUCGUUUGUGGGUGGGUUGACGGUAGCUGGAUAAGAAGCGCCGGCUAACUACGUG